AUAAAAAAUCUUCUUUCAUAUCCAUUUACUGUAGGAAUAUUUGUUUUAAGAUCUAUCAAGGCUUCAGGUGAUUUCUUCUAAUGUAGGAUUAUUCCAGCUCUUAAUAAGGGAACCUUCUGCUGAGCACCUCAUACUGUGUUACUUUUAAUCUUUGUUAGCGUCUUUUACACUUUUUCCCUUUCAUUUUAUCAUGAUGAUUUGUACAAGUAACGAUGAAUGCAUUUUUGUGAAUACUUUGGGCGCAAGCCUUCCAGCUUAACGGCCAAUGUUGUUCCAAGCAGAGUUGGGACAGGGGAGACUACAGGCAACUUCGGUUUAUUGAAAUGCUAAUGUGAUUAGAGGAGAUG
rnacentral:misc_RNA from 1 species